GCUCCGGUGGCCUGUGGUUUGAGUGUCUGUCUCGAGCACGGAAGGUCUCGGGUUCGAACCUCGACCGAAUCA